ensembl:lncRNA
CACACAAAGAGCACACAUACACUUUGGAAGUAGUGCAAGCUUAAGUGGAAAAUGGUUCUUUUUGGGUUAGGGUAGGUGGGUAAGGGGGAGGUGGACUUUCAAAGGAGGAGGCCCCCUCAAGAUGUCUGACAUGUUUCUGCAGGACCACAGGCCACUGGCUGGCGCAAGGCGCAGGCUUGUGGUGGGCUGUUUGUCUGUGUGAAGCUGGCAUGGCCUCCCGUUCCCCUUGCAUCUGUUCCCCAUUAGCAGAGCCGAGAGUAUAAAGCAAGGAGCUGACAGGGGCCGGGAACAGUCUAGUUCCUGCCUGGAUCAUGGGGUUUACUGUCUGGCUGUGUGUGCUCUGCCUGCAGGCGAGCCUGCUGUCACACGCCUUUGACUGCUCAGGAGCGAGCCACGGAGAGCUGUGUGUCAGCGGACAGACCGCAGACGGACAGGAUGCUGAUCAGAGGCAGCAGAGGGCUCUACCAUUAAGUGAAGGACUGGUUUUGUUCAGACGUAAGCGACAGUUGGAGCGAAGGGGUCCCACCCACCUGAGUCACUCCAUCCUGCCUGGAGCUGUCUCUGUCAAAGGCUUCCCUAACACUCUCAUCCAGGCUGAUAGGUCCAGACGACAAGCUGCGAAUAAGAAAAAGAACAACAAACGUAAACCCCGCAUUGGCUCCUUCUCCCUCCUUAGCAACAAGAAAACCACCCCCCUACAGGUCACCAGAGCAAAGAGACAGGUGAAGCUGGAUCCGCCCAAAAGGGGGAAGUCAGGUCGUUCUGGAGCAUUCUCUGUUCUGGGAGAUCCUCAGAAUGAUGGAGAGGUCGACAGACCCAGAAGAAGCAUAUAGUCCCAACAAGUGGUGGGCAGAGUACAGAUGUAACCAUGUUGUUUUAGCCAAAACAUGCAAGAAACUGAAGACUGGUAUAGAAAAAAACAAACAUGAGAACUUCUGUGUCUAUUUAGUAUUUUAUUAAGUCAUUUUGAUGUCUAGCUUACAUUUAUCAGCCAGUCUGCACCUAUGGAUACUGUUUAUAUACAAUUUUUUCUAAUUACUAAUAUAUUCUUGCAUGUUACCACAUCACAUGAAAUCCCAUUUAAUAAUAUUUCAGUUUAUUUCAUAUUUUGUAACCUAUUUAAUCUCAGAUUCCUUAUGAAGAUCGGUGGUAUAUUUUUGCAGAAAUAUUUCCUGUGUUGUUGUAUCAGGUUUCAAUAAAAGGUUGGAAGAGAAAAUGGUGUAAAAGUCU